rnacentral:rRNA from 1 species
AUGCCGCUGUAUGACUGCAUGCUGAUGGUGAAACCGAUGGUGACCAAGGAGGCCAUAGCGGAGCUUGUGGCGCGGGUGGUGGGGCGCGCCUACCAGCGCAACGGCGUUGUCACCGAGCUCAAAUCCUUCGGCAAAGUGCACCUUGGCUACGGCAUCAGGAAGCUUGACGGCCGCCACUUCCAGGUCUGCCCCGGUUUGCCACUCUUUAUUUGUACUCCCCGAUCAUAG